UACGUAGGUGGCGAGCGUUGUCCGGAUUUACUGGGCGUAAAGAGCGCGCAGGCGGUCGUGCAAGUCGCGUGUGAAAGCCCCCGGCUCAACUGGGGAGGGUCACGCGAUACUGCUCGACUCGAAGGCAGGAGAGGGAAGUGGAAUUCCCGGUGUAGUGGUGAAAUGCGUAGAUAUCGGGAGGACACCAGUGGCGAAGGCGACUUCCUGGCCUGUUCUUGACGCUGAGGCGCGAAAGCUAGGGUAGCAAACGGG
rnacentral:rRNA from 1 species